ACUGGGGUUCAGAAGUGUUCUCUUCAGCUCUUGCAGUGGUGUCUUACAACUAAUUGAUCACAGCCAGUUACAGAUUUCUUUGUUCCCUCUCCACUCCCGCUGCUUCACUUGACUAGCCU